GAAAUACAACAAAGUAAUCCAGUUGUUUGAUUUUUAUUUUUAAUAUAAUCAAAGGUCUGUAUUUGGCUUUUUUGUAUUAGCCUUAAGAGGAAUAAACGGAGUGAUUCAAAAGAAGGCUUUUGGAUGAUUUAUUCAUGUUUCGCCGUGUUUAUGUAUCCUAUUUAAAUUCAAAUUUCAUCGAUUUGACUGCACAACGAUAAGAAUGGCCUAGCAGGUUCACUUGAGGAAGGACAGAUGUGAGUGACUGUGUUAACUGCUAAAAUAAAGGGAUGAAAAAUCGUGGAACAACUGGCUUCGAGAACAGUCUAAACUAACGCUUAAUCUGCCUUUACUCUCUGCCAAAUUUCCAUGAUGCUACCGACUUAACUGCCUUUGAAGAACUCUGCCAGGAGACAUCUCCUAUCUAGAGGAGCAAAACAAAGGGAGAGCUUUUCCAAGAGCUAAUAACAAAUCUGAAGCUAACAGAAUCCUGAUGAAAGGGGCAGUCGUGGCUAACAAGCCAGGUGAGCGGUGCAGGGAGCUGGCGCACAGGCACAACAGGCUUUCCUCUCCCGAUUCCGUCUCACUCAGUAUUAAGCCUUGUCCUUUUUUUCCUCAAGUAUCUUGUGCUCAUUUUAAACAGAUGUCAGACACAAUUUUAUCACACAGAUAGAACAAGCCAUUUAAUCCACUCGCUGAGCCAAGUGUGUCUGGGGGAGUGCUGAACACUCAGAAGAGAACAAUCUGGGGCUCUAUCCCUCUCUGAACUCAAAUUCCUCCCAUCCUCAAGGAUAGGUUGAUGUUUUAUAAUCAAUGAGAGAGGUUACCAAGAGGGAUUUUUUUCAACACAUUCAUGGUUUCACACACUCACACAGGUCUUGAGAUAUCUGAGAGUAAAAAUAUACACUGAGUUAAUUCCUUAGACACAAAUGUAGCCACGUUAAUGAACCUUCCUUAAGUGGGUACACGCGAAUGCUCCCUCUGCUUUCUCCAACUGUUGUUCUGCUACAUUAUUUCAGAGCAAGUUCUCUCAUUAUUUUUCAUUGACGUCCAUCUCAAUAAGCCUCUGGCACUUUCUUCUCCUUCUUCCUCUACCCCAGUCCUUCCCCCAUCCCCACUAUGUCUCACUUCUUCUCUAAUGAAACUAAAGUCAUAUAGGUUUGCAUGUGACAUAUUCAAGUUCAUACAUUCAUGGGACAGUAGCAUUGGGGUGUAGGUAGAGCUGGACCUUGGCUUGUCUGAGUGAAUCUUAUACUGUGACACUAAAGAACCUAGAUGAAAUACCUGAAGAAGAACUUCCACGUGUCUGGUUUUACUUGGUUGCAUUGUGAUGUACGACAGAAAACCCAUGGAAAGACUGCCAAGGGGAUGGAACCGAGCUGACAAAAGCCUUUCGAUGGAUCAGUUUUGCUACUGAUCUUUGAUGGUGGAUGAUUAAUAAUUAUAAAGCAACUUAAGCAGCUUAGACAGGAAGACGGAAGAACGAGUCUUAAUUUUGUUAGGUGUGGACAACACAUCUUCAAACUUUAAAAGUCACCAUGUUAAACAUUUUAAAACAUGUAUAUAUUGAGGUCUCAUUCCACCCAAAUAAUCUACACUACUACUGUCUCUUUAGGUAACUGAAAAGGUGAGAGUCUCCUAUACAUUUAUUAACCAGAUUCCAACAGUGAGCAUGUUUUAGUUACAAGAGAGAAAAGCACAGAAGAAAUUUAAGGAGUUGAUCAGAAUUGGAGGGUUGUGUCCUAAGAGAAGCCGUCUCAGUCAUUAAAAAUAUAGGAAGAUAGGUAGCUUAGUUCAACAGAUUUAAGAAAACUUGCAUUUCCGUUGUAUUGAAACACUUUCUAAUUUGUUGAUGCCAUUUACUACGAUGUGUGAAAAGUGGCUACAAAAAUGUACAUCACUUCGAUCUGAAUUAUUUUGGAUACAUAUUGUUAAUACCUCCACCCCACCCCCACCCAGAACGUAGAAUGAAUUUCUAGCUCUUCUUUUAAGGGCUGGAAUGGUCUUAUGACUCACAGAUUGCCAACUGAAAUUGUUAUUCAUAAGAAAAAAAAAUCCUGGUUUAGUAUUAUUUGGCUGUAAGCCAGGCUUAAAGUCCACUUGGGAAAAUAUCAGUUUUUUAUACUCUCAUUAACUAUGCCUCAUGAACCAUCCAUUCUUCAGUCACUUGUGUAUCUGGAGCUUAACACUGUAUGAAAUGUCCACUGACAACCUGAGUACUGAGUAGAUCGAUGCUGGAAUCCAACGGUCGGCUACUGAGGUGUCUCCAGGAGUCUUUACUGCAUUCUAUAACACACCAGUGGGUCUUUAAAACAUACAAUUCAGCAAGGAAACAGAUUCCUGUUUUCUGGAAUUUAAAAUCUAGAUAUGGCAUACAGAUUUAUGACUUCUGACUUAAACCAACAAAGCUGAACUAUUUAAAUAUAAAUAAACUUUAAGUUUAAAUCAAACUUUCCUCCUCAGAAUACUUUUGGUAAUGUGCUAAAAGGAGGAAUAGAUGGAAGGAAAGGUCCUGGAAAAGUCAUUGAGAACUUGGCUAAUCAGAGAAGAUACAGGAAGACGCAUAGAUUAUAGCUUAAAUAUAGAUUAUAUAUAUAUAACAUUACUUCAGAUAUAUAUUAUAUCAGAUUGUAGCUGAGAAGGAACUAGUUUUAAUGAAAGGGACAGAUUUCAAGAAAGUGCAACCUUAUGACUUGAUAUUGACUCUCCCAUUAUCUAAACUGAUUUAAGGAGGAGAUAAUUUACAAAGUAGGUGUAGGUUUAAAAUACAGCAUUGAUUUAGUAGAAAUGUUUCCUGAUAUAUCCCGACUUAUGAAAGUGACCACACUAACCUAAAAACUUGUUAAUUUAGAAAACAUGUUUUCAGAGACUUUCACAAUCUGCCUCUUUGUUGCUGUGGUCUAACAGGAGGCAUUCUGAGUUAUGUAUAGUAAGGCAGUAAAUAACACAAGAUCAUGAACUGUGUCUGGCAUGUCUAAUAAAAUUUAUUUUCAGUGGUGUAAAAAGUGAAGCACACCCAAAAGGAAAACAGAAACACAUGUUCAUAGAAUGAAAAGUCGUUGACCCAAGAGCAGAGGGGAAGUGCUGGGUGCCUAUGCUUACUUUGUGUGUAUGGUCAGAUGUAAGUCAUUGAGCUUUGAACUUGACUUACUUGUCUGCGACAUGAAUUAUCUUUUAUUAAUUCAAAGACAUCUUACUAAUUUCUCUGAAUGUUUCUGUUCAUAUUUCAGCCCACACUUCAGCUUACAAACUUUGCAUGACCGAUUCCCACAUGUGCAGAAAUCAUCUUUAAGUAAUGAUUUCCUUGUGACAGGCACAGAUUUAGACCUUUCAUAUAUAACUAGAAUUCAUAGAAAGCUAAAUGACUCAUUCUAUUUGUUGCGACGCGAACUGCAUUUCCACACAGCUCCUUCUAUCUGCACUUAACAAACUUGGGAAGAAGUUGAAGUUUGAAAAUGGCAAUCGCUAUUACCGUUUCCAGGUGAAGAUCGGCAUUGGAAUUUUUUAAGGCUUAGUCUUUGCUCUUUAUUUUACAUACACAAUAUUAAUUUCUAAUUUGUACAUUUUAUUGAAAUUUUCUAUGUGAAGUGGCUGUGGAUUACAAUAAAGUAUAAAAUACCCACAAUAUUUACUAAAAAAAUAGAAUGCAUUCAAAACUGACAGGCUACCUGUAUUAACUGAGGGUUCAUUAGUUGAUUAACAUGCUAAAAUCAGAAGCCUGUGUUCAGGGGAAAGAUGGUCUGGAAAGAAUAAGAAACUUACAAAUUCCCAUAAAUAUUGGAAUAUUUACCAUGUUCAGUUAGUGACACUAAUGGUUUUUUUGUUUGUUUGUUUGUUUGUUUUGGUGGGGAGCUAUCAGAAACAAGGCUAAAAGCUUUCAGGCAACCAGUGAAAAUUCUCAGAUCUCAGGAGUAAUGAUACAGAAAGCUAGCAGAGUAGGUUCUAAUGUCUUAGGACCAGAGAGGUAAUCUAAGCAUUAAUAGAAACUUGAUUCAUGAAUAGAGUUCAGAAAGAUACCUUUGCAUGGUUAGUCCUAUGGCUUCACAAUAGGAAAAAACAGUUGCUAUUUGAGAUGUCCUCACUUUGUGACAAUAGCCCUCUUCCGAGUUCUGAAGUCCUACCUUUAGAGAUCAAGAUUGUCCAACGUAGACCACUUGUAGUCUACUACCCCAUCUUUGGUAUUCACACCUACAGAACUGUGGCCUCACUAUUCUCAUGACAGAUGCCACCAAUGUCCCAGGACAGGGCAUCUUAGUCAUCUCUAUCACCAGAUGAACAACAGGAAGCAAGGGACUAAGAGCAGCUGGCUCAUUCCUCUCCAGGUGAGGAGACAGCUGAAGGGCUCAGCUGAACACUGGUCCUGUGACUCAUGAGUGGAGACCAUACACUUGGAGUCUCACAGCCAGUAGAGUGGCCUUUCACCGGGUGACAAUCAUCAGUGAAGACUUCCUGCCCGAGUUUCAGACAGUUUAACCUUCCUACUCCUUUAAGCACUAGUCAUAACAAUCCCUUUCAGUGACUGCAAACAGGGCCCUAACUCUGAGCAAGUGACUUAGGUUAGACCACUGGUAACAGACUAUCUCAAUCAAUCAAUGAAUUAAGAUUUUCUGGGACUAUCAUGCCAUAAGAAAGGAUACUGAAUUAAAAAAACACAAGAAUAAAAGUUCUAGUGGACCUGGAGAGCAUUGCUCUUGAUUUUUUUCUUAGCUAUUUCUAACUUUUGGUGGUGUGGCUUAACAGGAUCUUUGCUAAAAAAGUAUUCGAGAGGUUGUUAUGCGAUAAUUCAUAACCAAUUAUGCUCCUGGAAGAAACAAAUGCAAAUUUCUUGCAUCUGUCUUGGGAUUUUGAAAAAGGUAGAGAGAUUUAAUUAAAAAAAAAAGGUUGCUCAAGAGAGUUUUCAAUAAAAAAAAAUGAAAGGGUGUGUUAGGUUAAAAAAAGAACCUCUGAUCUUUCUUGAUGAUUAAAUAUUGCAGUCAAAUGAUAACCAAUAAAAAAUAAGAAUUGGAAAGGCAGAAGUAGAAGAGAAACAUUCCUAUUGCAAAGAUGAUGGAAAUAAUAUUUCCUUUUUUUGUCGAGAUGUUUGCAUUUCAUGGCAUAAAAAUGCCAAAAUCGAAUGGGAUAACUUACUAAUUUGUGACAUAUGUGAAAAUGAGGGCAAUAAAAGUACAUUUGAGGCACCAUCAAUAUUGUUAAUGUGCUCCAAAAAGUUUAUAGUAAAACACCUUAGUGUAUACAUAUGAAACAUUGAUUCAGAAAACUAUCACACUGAUUGACAAGGAUAUGUCAUACCCUACUUCAUGGAAAUGGGAGAGACAAGAAAAUACACAGAUGUGCACAGCAGUUCUUGCCCAUCACUAUAUCUGGGAGCCUGGUUUCCACAUGAUAGAUCUAUAUGUCGUGUUCACUUUACACAGCAGUUGGAAAUUCUAUUGUCAUAUGUAAUUCUGUUUCAUAAUCUUUGGUUCUAGAGCAGGAGAACAAAGUUCUGUAGUGAUUCCAAGACAGGAAGUGAUUUUCCUUCAUUCAUAUUUCUUAUGUGAUGGCCCAGGAGGGGACAUGUCCAAUGACAUAGAGAAGUAAUGUUAACUUUAAGCCAGAGCUUACCUUCCAGCCUUGAAUGCCAUCGAAAGGGUCACUCAUCUUGCAGCUAAGUUUCUAUCAAUUGGAAUGGGUUAAAAAAAAUAAACAUUUCCCCAUGCCUCCCCCUCCCUGAAUGAAUGUUAGUGAAUAUGAACAUUGCCAAUCAAAAAAAAUGAUACAUUGAGUUUUGAGUUAUAACAGUACUCAUCAGAAGACAUCAGGAAGGAGUUUGUAAAAGUAAAUUGUUGGGGAAAUAGAGAUUUCGUGAUCAUAUGUGUUCAUUUGUUGGUUAUUCGAGAUCAUAUGUGUAUAGCAGACCUCUUACUCCGUUAGAAUUUCUAAUAGAGAAUGUUGCUAGCACUAUUAACCAUAUAAAAAUAUUUAUUUCCACAAUCAAGCUUUUCCAGACUUUCCUUCAUUUUAUUUAAAGUAAAACAAAUGGUUUUAUUAUUACUAUCAACAAUGAACCUCCUUCUCGGAUAAAUCAUCUAAAUACUGAAUUAAAAGCACAAGAAUAAAGUUAA
rnacentral:sRNA from 1 species